GUCCGGGUCCGGGUGGUCGCUGCGGGUAUCAAGCCCCGUAGAGGAAAGUCUGGACAUCGCAAGGCAGCGCGUCCUGUGAAAGCAGGAGACACCCGGAGCCAAUGCCGGGUGGACGGAAAGUGCCACAGAAAACAAACCGCCCGCAAGGGUAAGGGUGAAAAGGUGGGGUAAGAGCCCACCGCUCCGGAGGUGACGAUGGAGGCAUGGAAAACCCCGCGCGAUGCAAGACAAACAGGGAAAGGGUAGCCUGCCCGCUGUAUUCCCGGGUAUUAGUUGCACCCUGCUAUAAACGCAGGGCACGCCUGGUAACAGGCGCGAGAAAAAUGGCCACACAGCCCGCCUCUGCGCGGGUGGACAGAAUCUGGCUUACAGGGCCCGGACGACA
rnacentral:RNase_P_RNA from 1 species